rnacentral:rRNA from 1 species
ACGGAGGGUGCAAGCGUUAUCCGGAUUCACUGGGUUUAAAGGGUGCGUAGGAGGACUGGUAAGUCAGUGGUGAAAUCCCCGAGCUUAACUUGGGAACUGCCGUUGAUACUAUCAGUCUUGAAUACCGUGGAGGUGAGCGGAAUAUGUCAUGUAGCGGUGAAAUGCUUAGAUAUGACAUAGAACACCAACUGCGUAGGCAGCUUACUACACGAUCAUUGACGCUGAGGCACGAAAGCGUGGGGAGCAAACAGGA